rnacentral:rRNA from 1 species
CAGUAGCCACGGUAAUACGUAGGUGGCAAGCGUUAUCCGGAAUUAUUGGGCGUAAAGCGCGCGUAGGCGGUUUCUUAAGUCUGAUGUGAAAGCCCACGGCUCAACCGUGGAGGGUCAUUGGAAACUGGGAAACUUGAGUGCAGAAGAGGAAAGUGGAAUUCCAUGUGUAGCGGUGAAAUGCGCAGAGAUAUGGAGGAACACCAGUGGCGAAGGCGACUUUCUGGUCUGUAACUGACGCUGAUGUGCGAAAGCGUGGGGAUCAAACAGGAUUAGAUACCCCGGUAGUCCCUGUCUCUUAUAC